GCACAAUCUUCGAAUAAAGCCCAAACAUGAUUUGCGCACAAAGGGGCCACACAGAUGGGGGUUCGGUAGACGAACAGGGGGGUAUGAACAGCCGAAUAAAGGGAAUAAAAAGUAUAUAGCAAGCAUCCAUUCCGCUACAAUAAGUACAAAACAAAAUAUACAACUCUGCUAUAGGCACCUAUUUGUUAUUUCAGUUUUGCACUUUGGUUUUCAAUUUAUUACAGUUUACUAUUGAGUGCAUAAACCUCGUUAGACUUAUUUACUCUAUCGCUUUAGUGAACCGUCUGUAUAUGUGUUUUCCAGUGG